UACGGAAGGCAGCAGUGGGGAAUAUUGGACAAUGGGCGAAAGCCUGAUCCAGCCAUGCCGCAUGAGUGAAGAAGGCCUUCGGGUUGUAAAGCUCUUUUAGUGAGAAAGAUAAUGACGGUACUCACAGAAGAAGUCCUGGCUAACUCCGUGCCAGCAGCCGCGGUAAUACGGAGAGGGCUAGCGUUAUUCGGAAUUAUUGGGCGUAAAGAGCGCGUAGGCUGAUUAGUAAGUUAAAAGUGAAAUCCCAAAGCUUAACUUUGGAAUUGCUUUUUAAAACUGCUAGUCUAGAGAUUGAAAGAGGAUAGAGGAAUUCCUAGUGUAGAGGUGAAAUUCGUAAAUAUUAGGAGGAACACCAGUGGCGAAGGCGUCUAUCUGGUUCAAAUCUGACGCUGAGGCGCGAAGGGCGUGGGGAGCAAACAGGGAUUAGGAUACCCGU
rnacentral:rRNA from 1 species